GCAUCGGUGGUUUAGUGGUAAAAUUAGCCGUUGCCAUCAGUUCCUGACCAAGUCGGCUAGCCCCGGGUUCGAUUCCCGGCCGAUGCA
rnacentral:tRNA from 1 species